rnacentral:rRNA from 1 species
UACGAAGGGGGCUAGCGUUGCUCGGAAUCACUGGGCGUAAAGCGCACGUAGGCGGAUUGCUAAGUCAGGGGUGAAAUCCUGGAGCUCAACUCCGGAACUGCCUUUAAGACUGCAUCGCUUGAAUCCGGGAGAGGUGAGUGGAAUUCCGAGUGUAGAGGUGAAAUUCGUAGAUAUUCGGAAGAACACCAGUGGCGAAGGCGGCUCACUGGACCGGUAUUGACGCUGAGGUGCGAAAGCGUGGGGAGCAAACAGG